rnacentral:piRNA from 1 species
UGCAUUCACAAGAGAUGGGCUCUGUGGUC